AAAGAAAUUUCAAAUCAAGAAAACUCAAACUUGACGUCUGAAUUAGUUUGCGAAAUCUGUUUGUGAAAUUCUCCAAUAAGAUAAAUAUGAGAGGGAAAUUACUGUGGAAUGUUGCCAGGAUAAUCUUGUUAUCGGGAUUAUCUUUCGGUAUUUGAAGAUAUGUGGAUCGAUUUAUUAUCAUUCAUAGUCCAGUGGUAAAUAUACUGGACCAAGAUAUCGCAUGAUUUGUGGAUGCGUUUUGGGUUUCGUCACAGCAACGAUUCUGUUCGUCUGUUUGCCUUUGUGUAAUUCCAAAUUAAAUAAACUCUCGUGUACAUGUAACCCAAAUCCCAUUUGUUCCGAGUGCGGGGAAAUAUUUUAAGGAGCCUCUCAAUUUUGUAAACCAAAACUUUCUAGUUCUGUUGCUCUUAUAAUGUCUUGCAUAAAGAAUUCGUAUCGCUGACCACCUUGUAAUUCUGAUUUAAAUGAAACUAAUUAAACUAAACUGGCACAUGAAUCUUGAAGAAAUCGAACAAUCCCUGCGUUGUGUACAAUUAGAAGAGAUUGACUUCAAGAAAGAUCAAACGCGAAAAACCACUCAAAUACACCGAUUUAAUUCCAAUAGAUAUUAGAGGCAAAACUUUAGAGUAUUAACAAUUGGGGGUUCAUUUGAAAUUUAUGUAUUAAGUUUUUGUUGAGGCCUUUUGUCUUUCGAAUCUUUGUGGUUAUUCUAGAAUUUUUUUGGGUUUAUUUUUAUAAUGAUCUGUAUGAGCAUAGCGACUGCUUUGACGGCGGCGGGCCUCAUCAUCCUGGGACCGAUGGCGUGCGACAAAUUCUUGCACUGCUUCAUGAAGUCGUCCAAGAAAUAAUGUACAUUUCAUAGGCGAAGCAACCAAUGUGUCGCGCCAUUUUAAUUAAAUACAACUGGAAAAUGUA